CAGUCGCCACGGUAAUACGGAGGGUGCAAGCGUUGUCCGGAUUUAUUGGGUUUAAAGGGUGCGCAGGCGGGGGGGUCAGUCCGCGGUGAAAGACGAUCGCUCAACGAUUGCAGUGCCGUGGAUACUGCCCUUCUUGAAUCUGGUUGAGGCCGGCGGAAUUGACCGUGUAGCGGUGAAAUGCAUAGAUAUGGUCAAGAACUCCAAUUGCGAAGGCAGCCGGCUGGGCCAGCAUUGACGCUCAGGCACGAGAGUGCGGGGAUCAAACAGGAUUAGAUACCCCGGUAGUCCCUGUCUCUUAUAC
rnacentral:rRNA from 1 species